rnacentral:lncRNA from 1 species
CUUUAAGGGAGUAUAUGCUUGAAAUCCCAGGGACUGCUGCUGUUUAAAAUCGCACAUCUACUGAAGCACUCUGGCGGCCCGGGGCCAAUGGGCUGUGCAUCUUGUAGGACUGAGCCCUGAGGAGCACACAGAGAACUGCUCAACUCUCUCCUGCUGAACUUACUGCGAACAAAAGGCUCCGUUCCAGAUCCAGCCCGGAGUUGCCGUCAGAAACUUCACUGCGAGCGCUGUCUGUCGCGCUCCCUCCCUCGCUUGCUCGCUCCCUCCCUGGCUCGGUAAAAUGGCAGUGCGAGAGCUUUAUGAAAAGGGUGAAAACCCUCCUUUCUCGGCGCCCGGCUCUCCCGUAGCACCCCCCCCUUCCCCCCUCCCCCCCAGUCGUGACUCCUGAACUCAAACUUUUCUAAAAAUACACUUUAGGAGGGCAGAAUUUCACGGGGGGGAAUAUUUUUUUUUACCCUCCGCUGAAAAGAGCAGCUGAGGGUGGGAGAAACGCAGAGGGACAGACUUGCUGGGAAUCGGUGCCUUUCUGCGCUGGCGAACUCUGCCGAUUUCACCUCCCUGCGUGGUAUUGCCAGUGCCCGAGUACUAAAACAGAAUAAUAGUUUGCUUCAGUGGGAAAAUCCAGGCCCGGAGUUGAGGUCUUUCUCUUUUCACAGCAAUGAAAGCCUUUUUAACUCUUCCAAGUGGGGUUUGCAGUGCGAUGUGCCUGAUGGGCAAGCCUCCUCGACAGCUCCCAAAUCUGGUGGGGUUCUGUACAGAUCAGACGGUUGGCUCCCGAUCCAGUGCAGGGGUUUGUGGAGACUCCGGUCCGCGUUUUUCUUUUUUUUUUUUUUUUUUUUUUUUUUUUUUUUUUUUUUUUUUUUGUUAAGUAGAUUUACUCCUCCAAGAGCGCUCAGCAGCAGAGCUGCUGUUCGAGGGCGGCCGCAGCGCCUUGUGUGCAUAACCGCCCGUUCAAAACACACGCCAGAAAGCGCUCCUUCUCAGCACUUUAUUAUUGUUUUUCUCCUCGAGGUGUCCCCGUUCAGAACAUCUGUAAAUUCUCCCUGGAAUUUAUAAAUUCCAGCUCCAUUUCUUUGAACUGCAGCCCAUGCAGCCCCUCCUGCCCCGCUCCCACCGCCCCCGCGCCUCUUCCCUUCCGCUCUGCGAACUCCGCUUCGCCUUUUACUCCUCCUAGCGAGGGCUGCUGAAAUAAUGCGUUUCCUUCAGUCAGGCAGAGUCCACUUUCCUCUCCUAAUAUGCAUCCAAACUUUUGCAGCGCACUGUCAAAUGUUAACAGCAGGCGCUAUGAGCGCGGCCGGGGCAGGGGCUCCUUCUCUUUGAAACCUUUGGUGCCAGCGCGGUGGGAAGCAGCAAAUCCCGUGUAAAAUCCACUCCUGCCUUUGAGCCGUGCUGCUGCGUUCAGCGAACUGACAGAGUUACCUUCUGCUGAAACUCCACUUCAGUUCGCAGUGUAGAGCUCUCUCGCAGCGUGCCCUUGUGCCAUUGUGUCAGCGCUGGAGAGGGAGAUUAUACAAUAUCUUGACAUUUUUUUUUUUAAGAGCAUAAAUAAGCAUUGUCUUGUACAAUGCCCCAACACAUUAGCCACUCACAGCAAACAAAUAACUCAAAUAACGUUAAUCUUAAUGGUUAUGAAGCUGCAAGAGUGCUUAACCUCAAUAUGAUAGUGGCUAAAAUACUGGAAAGAAUGGGCUGGAAGAAACGUAUUUAUAGGAAAUGUAAAUUUUCUUUAGCAAAACUACUCUCAGAUAAGCUGAGGUACUGUAGAUAACCUUUCCUCAUUCCACUCCAUAUUUUGCGAUGUGCUCUGUGAAUUAUAAUGGAUGGGUCUCUUGUUCUUGGGUCCAGUCUGCGUAUCUCAGCAUACUGUGCCUCUCAGUAAAAUGGAAGAGCAUCCUUCUUCACCCAACUACGCUCAUUGCUUCUCAGCUUGUUUCAUUCUAGCUCAGUUGUGCUAGUUAAUACUUUACUGUAGAAACUCUAUCCAAUUCCUGAAGGAUUCCAGUCCAUGUUUGUAGCGGGUUGAAAGGCUGGGGAUAAUGAUAACUUGUGUGAGCAAGCGAGAGAGAGGGAGCGUGGCUGACUUUAGUCCGGUUUCCAUGUCAACGAUUCAGUCCAUAUUUGCCAUCACACAGUUGGCAGAGCCUUUUUUUUUUUUUUUUUUUUUUUCGGGAGGGGGACACUAGUCCUGUUUCUAGUACUCUAAUCUACACCAGGUUUCCUAACCUGCCCCGGUGCCAGGUUAAAUGGCAUGGCCACCUUCAUGAAGGAGACUCCACUCAGGAGGAGCCAGCCUAGUGGCGGUGGCCUGCAGUGCCAUGUGAGCUCUGGGCUGGCCCCAGCCUAUCUGAGCAGCCAGGGGCUGAGCCUGUUGUGGAGGAAAGCGUGCUCAGCACUUCGGGAGAUGGGGAAGGGACGACUGCUGCAUGCUACUUAGCAGAGACUGCUCAGGCUGAGAAGAGUAUUACCGUGUCGCAAAGAAAAGCCUUGUCCAGUUCUACAGACUGGGGAUACGGGAGUAACAGCCUGGGAUGACACAGCUGGCAGGAGGAUUUUCAGCUGUUAGAUGGAAAUGUUGUUAAGAACUGUACCGUCAUCUGCUUUCCAAACCCCACGGUUGGAGUUUCAUUGAAUGCCUUAGUAUUUAGUAAUCUGCCAAGGCCUCAUUGAUGAGGCAUAUUCCAAAAUCUGCUUCAGCUUUCACAAACAUUUGGUAAAGUGAGUGUCUCCUUAUUGUGUGGGUGGCUGGGGAAUCCAGUCUGCUUUUCACAUUACAGUCAACACCAGGUUUCAUAGUCUGCUAUAGUGCUCUUUGAAGAAGGUUCCAAAAGGCUGACACAUGUAGAGGAGCUGCGAGCGUGGAGUCUUUGGGUGCACCUGAGCUGAAACUUAAGCUCCGUAUCUGUAUUUGGUAAACUUUUGGUGGUGCUUAGUUGGACAGCAGGGCUUCCUGAAGUAGACUGCAGCUUUGGAGUUGAGAAGAUCGUUCUCAAGACUGUGCAGCAGAAUUGCCUCCAGUUUGGUUUUCUAGCUUUAUAGCAAAAGAAACUCCAGGAAAAGGGUAUGUUGGUGCUGUGGUCCGCUACAGCCCACCACAGACACUGGUGAAGCCACUCUCACGGAGCCUAACCUGAUGUCUUAAGAGGUUUUCUCUCCACCUGCUCCUACGGCUUGGGGCUUGGAUGCUCCUCCAAAGAGAGCAUAUAGACCAA